AGUGAACGCUGGCGGCAGGUCUAACACAUGCAAGUCGAGCGGCAGCGCGUCCGACCACCCUCGGGUGGUCGGAUGGCGGCGAGCGGCGGACGGGUGAGGAAUGCAUCGGAAUCUGCCUCGUUGUGGGGGAUAACGUAGGGAAACUUACGCUAAUACCGCAUACGACCUACGGGUGAAAGUGGGGGGACCUUCGGGCCUCACGCGAUGAGAUGAGCCGAUGCCGGAUUAGCUAGUUGGCGGGGUAAAGGCCCACCAAGGCGACGAUCCGUAGCUGGUCUGAGAGGAUGAUCAGCCACACUGGAACUGAGACACGGUCCAGACUCCUACGGGAGGCAGCAGUGGGGAAUAUUGGACAAUGGGGGCAACCCUGAUCCAGCCAUGCCGCGUGUGUGAAGAAGGCC
rnacentral:rRNA from 1 species